GAUGAAGAACGCAGCGAAAUGCGAUAAGUAAUGUGAAUUGCAGAAUUCAGUGAAUCAUCGAAUCUUUGAACGCACCUUGCGCCCUUUGGACAUUCCGAAGGGCAUGCCUGUUUGAGUAUCAUGAACACCUCAACUCUCACGGCUUGUCCGUGAUGAGCUUGGACUUUGGGGGUCUUGCCGGCCUGUAGUCGGCUCCUCUCAAAUGGAUCAGCUUGCCAGUGUUUGGUGGCAUCACAGGUGUGAUAACUAUCUGCGCUUGUGGUUUUCCAUCAGAUAACCUUCAGUGAUAUGGAGGUUCGCUGGAGCUCACAAAUGUCUCUCCUUAGUGAGGACAGCUCUUUGAACGUUUGAUCUCAAAUCAGGUAGGACUACCCGCUGAACUUAAGCAUAUCAAUAAGCGGAGGA
rnacentral:misc_RNA from 1 species